CCAAGGAGUCUAACAUGUGCGCGAGUCACUCGGUCUUGAAUAGGCCAGAGAGGCGCAAUGAAAGUAAAGUUGAUUGAGUUACGAUCCUCAUUUAGUUAUCCGAAAUUUAUUUCUGGUUAACGGUGAGGCGCAGUAACAGCCCGCCAAUUUCGCCUAUUGACGAUCUGGCGGCGUUGUAGCGUACACGUUGGUACCCGAAAGAUGGUGAACUAUGCCUGGGCAAGACGAAGCCAGAGGAAACUCUGGUGGAGGUCUGUAGCGAUUCUGACGUGCAAAUCGAUCGUCAGACCUGGGUAUAGGGGCGAAAGACUAAUCGAACCAUC
rnacentral:rRNA from 1 species